rnacentral:rRNA from 1 species
AUUAAGCCAUGCGAGUUAAAUGUUCUUCGUGAACAUAGCAGACUGCUCAGUAACACGUGGAUAACCUGCCCUUAGGACUGGCAUAACCCCGGGAAACUGGGGAUAAUUCCGGAUAGAUCAUAAAUGCUGGAAUGCUUUAUGAUUGAAAGGUUUCGACCGCCUUAGGAUGGAUCUGCGGCCUAUCAGGUUGUAGUGGGUGUAAUGUACCUACUAGCCUACGACGGGUACGGGUUGUGGAAGCAAGAGCCCGGAGACGGAUUCUGAGACAUGAAUCCAGGCCCUACGGGGCGCAGCAGGCGCGAAAACUUUACAAUGCGGGAAACCGUGAUAAGGGAACACUGAGUGCUAGCAUUUAUGUUAGCUGUCCACAUGUGUAAAUAGCAUGUGAUAGCAAGGGCUGGGCAAGACCGGUGCCAGCCGCCGCGGUAACACCGGCAGCCCGAGUGGUGAUCACUAUUAUUGGGUCUAAAGGGUCCGUAGCCGGUUUAAUCAGUCUUCUGGGAAAUCUAAUCGCUUAACUAUUAGGCUUCCAGGGGAUACUGUUAGACUUGGGACCGGGAGAGGUAAGAGGUACUGCAGGGGUAGGAGUGAAAUCUUGUAAUCCCUGUGAGACCACCAGUGGCGAAGGCGUCUUACCAGAACGGGUCCGACGGUGAGGGACGAAAGCUGGGGGCACGAACCGGAUUAGAUACCCGGGUAGUCCCAGCUGUAAACGAUGCUCGUUAGGUGUCAGGAACGGUGCGACUGUUUCUGGUGCCGAAGGGAAGCCGUGAAACGAGCCACCUGGGAAGUACGGCCGCAAGGCUGAAA